UACGAAGGGGGCUAGCGUUGCUCGGAAUCACUGGGCGUAAAGGGUGCGUAGGCGGGUCUUUAAGUCAGGGGUGAAAUCCUGGAGCUCAACUCCAGAACUGCCUUUGAUACUGAAGAUCUUGAGUUCGGGAGAGGUGAGUGGAACUGCGAGUGCAGAGGUGAAAUUCGUAGAUAUUCGCAAGAACACCAGUGGCGAAGGCGGCUCACUGGCCCGAUACUGACGCUGAGGCACGAAAGCGUGGGAAGCAAACAGG
rnacentral:rRNA from 1 species